GACGAACGCUGGCGGCGUGCUUAACACAUGCGAGUCGAACGGAAAGGCCCUGCUUUUGUGGGGUGCUCGAGUGGCGAACGGGUGAGUAACACGUGAGUAACCUGCCCUUGACUUUGGGAUAACUUCAGGAAACUGGGGCUAAUACCGGAUAGGAGCUCCUGCUGCAUGGUGGGGGUUGGAAAGUUUCGGCGGUUGGGGAUGGACUCGCGGCUCAUCAGCUUGUUGGUGGGGUAGUGGCUUACCAAGGCUUUGACGGGUAGCCGGCCUGAGAGGGUGACCGGCCACAUUGGGACUGAGAUACGGCCCAGACUCCUACGGGAGGCAGCAGUGGGGAAUAUUGCACAAUGGGCGGAAGCCUGAUGCAGCAACGCCGCGUGCGGGAUGACGGCCUUCGGGUUGUAAACCGCUUUCGCCUGUGACGAAGCGUGAGUGACGGUAAUGGGUAAAGAAGCACCGGCUAACUACGUG
rnacentral:rRNA from 1 species